AGCAGCCGCGGUAAUUCCAGCUCCAAUAGCGUAUAUUAAAGUUGCUGCAGUUAAAAAGCUCGUAGUUGAAUUUCGGGACCAAUAUGUCGGUCGUGCCUCGGUACGUACUGGCUUAUUGGUUUCUCCUUUCUGAAGAACCAUGAUGUCAUUUAUUUGGUGUCGUGGGGAAUCAGGACUGUUACUUUGAAAAAUUAGAGUGUUUAAAGCAGGCUCACGCUUGAAUACAUUAGCAUGGAAUAAUGAAAUAGGACGUUUGAUUCUAUUUUGUUGGUUUCUAGGAUCGACGUAAUGAUUAAUAGGGAUAGUUGGGGGCAUUAGUAUUCAAUUGUCAGAGGUGAAAUUCUUGGAUUUAUUGAAGACUAACUACUGCGAAAGCAUUUGCCAAGGAUGUUUUCAUUAAUCAAGAACGAAAGUUAGGGGAUCGAAGACGAUCAGAUACCGUCGUAGUCUUAACCAUAAACUAUGCCGACUAGGGAUCGGAUGAUGUUAAUUUUUUAAUGUACUCAUUCGGCGCCUUAAC
rnacentral:misc_RNA from 1 species